UCCGGUUUGUCACCGGCAGUCCCUCUAGAGAUCUCCUUGCGGAGCAACUAAAGGCGAGGGUUGCGCUCGUUGCGGGACUUAACCCAACAUCUCACGACACGAGCUGACGACAGCCAUGCAGCACCUGUGCACGAUCUCCGAAGAGGGGCUCUCGUUUCUGAGAGCUUGCUCGUGCAUGUCAAGCCUAGGUAAGGUUCUUCGUUUAGCAUCGAAUUAAAGAACAUGAUCCACCGCUUGUGCGGCUCCCCGUCAAUUCCUUUAUGUUUUAGUCUUGCGACCGUACUCCACAGGCGGGAUACUUAACGCGUUAGCUUCGCUACUGAAGGGGUCGAUACCUCCAACAGCUAGUAUCCAUCGUUUACGGCGUGGACUAC
rnacentral:misc_RNA from 1 species